GGCCCAGUGGCCUAAUGGAUAAGGCAUCUGCCUUCUGAAGCUGGGUUUUUUUGGUUCAAGUCCCAUCUGAGUCA
rnacentral:tRNA from 1 species